AAUUCCAAUUUACAAGUUCAGAUUUUUUUUUGUGUGUGGGGAAGUGACAAGCUGGGCUUCCCUGGAAUCUUCUCUCUCUACUCUCUUUUCCUCUCCCUCUCCUCUGCUCGAUCUGUUUCUCCUCUCUCGCAGUGCAGAGGGUGUGACUGGCCGCCCCCGGGAUUACUCGCAGCUGCAGGCCCUCUCUAAUCAGCCGCCUGUUCUCCGCGGAUCAUCAGCGCAGCUUCUGAAGCGGUGGCUGCUCUCUGUUCGGCGCCUGGCUAUAGUCACGAGAGCCACCCUGCUCUAGGGUCUCUCAGCCUGCCCGCUGACGCCACUCUCCACCUGCCGUCACCAGUCCUGCGUGCCUCGUCUCCCUGCCUGUGUGUGUGUGUCCACAACCUGCUCUUUCGCCUGAGAGGUGUUCCCCACCAGUCCGUUCUGCUACCUUGUCUGAUUCAUUAAUAAAGUGUGUAAAACUUCGA